UACGUAGGGUGCGAGCGUUGUCCGGAAUUAUUGGGCGUAAAGGGCUCGUAGGCGGUUUGUCACGUCAGGAGUGAAAACUCGGGGCUCAACCCCGAGCCUGCUUCUGAUACGGGCAGACUAGAGGUAUGCAGGGGAGAACGGAAUUCCUGGUGUAGCGGUGAAAUGCGCAGAUAUCAGGAGGAACACCGGUGGCGAAGGCGGCCCCCUGGUUGGAUACUGACGCUGAGACGCGAAAGCGUGGGGAGCAAACAGG
rnacentral:rRNA from 1 species